CAAGGUCGAGCGGCUGCACGGGACUUUGCUCCGGGGUUCAGUGGCGGACGGGUGAGUAAUGUCUAGGAACCUGCCUGGUAGUGGGGGAUAACUUCCGGAAACGGGCGCUAAUACCGCAUACGUCCUACGGGGGAAAGUGGGGGAUCUUCGAACCUCACGCUAUCAGAUGAGCCUAUGUCGGAUUAGCUGUUGGUGGGGAAAGGCUCACCAAGGCGACGAUCCGUAACUGGUUUGAGAGGAUGAUCAGCCACACUGGGACUGAGACACGGUCCAGACUCCUACGGGAGGCAGCAGUGGGGAAUUUUGGACAAUGGGGGAAACCCUGAUCCAGCCAUGCCGCGUGUGUGAUGAAGGUCUUCGGAUUGUAAAGCACUUUUGGUUGGAAGGAAGGGCCGUAAGUUAAUACCUUGCUGUUUUGACGUUACCUGCAGAAUAAGCACCGGCUAACUUCGUGCCAGCAGCCGCGGUAAUACGAAGGGUGCAAGCGUUAAUCGGAAUUACUGGGCGUAAAGCGUGCGUAGGUGGUUCAGAAAGUUGGAUGUGAAAUCCCCGAGCUCAACCUGGGAACUGCAUUUUUAACUACUGAGCUAGAGUGUGUCAGAGGGUGGUGGAAUUUCCUGUGUAGCGGUGAAAUGCGUAGAUAUGCGGAGGAACACCAAUGGCGAAAGCGACCUCCUGGGACUGAUACUGACACUGAUGCUGCGAAAGCGUGGGGAGCAAACAGGAUUAGAUACCCUGGUAGUCCACGCCGUAAACGAUGUCAACUAGCUCGUUGGGAUCCUUUGAGCCUCUGAUUGCGCGCACUCUACACGCUGAUAAUUCAACCCCCGGGGGAGAUAUACGUCCCGCAGAGUUAAACUCUACAAAGUAAAUGUACACGGGAGCCGCGACAACACGCGUGUGAAGACAUGUGGUUAUAUUUCAUACACACCGCAAAAAACCUUCCUCUCGCCCUUACAUGUGCUGAAAGCUUACAAGAUUUGAUUGUGUCCUUCGGACU
rnacentral:rRNA from 1 species